ACCAUGGUAGUUGGUUGCAAAAGAAGUAGGUAGCAUAACCUUCGGGAGGGCGCUUACCACUUUGUGAUUCAUGACUGGGGUGAAGUCGUAACAAUGUAACCGUAGGGGAACCUGCGGUUGGAUCACCUCCUUA
rnacentral:rRNA from 1 species